ACGACGCUGGCGGCGUGCUUAAUACAUGCAAGUCAACUUGACUUUAGAUAGCAAUAUCGAAAAGUAGGGUGGCGCACGGGUGCGUAACGCGUAGGUAAUCUGCCCUGAGGUCUGACAUAACCCGUCGAAAGGCGGGCUAACAUCAGAUGAUAUAUAAUCACGACAUCGUGGAAAUAUCAAAUCUUCGGAGCCUUGGGAUGAGCCUGCGUCUGAUUAGGUAGUUGGCGGAGUAAUAGCCCACCAAGCCUACGAUCAGUAGCUGGUCUGAGAGGAUGAUCAGCCACACUGGAACUGAGACACGGUCCAGACUCCUACGGGAGGCAGCAGUAAGGAAUAUUGCUCAAUGGGGGAAACCCUGAAGCAGCAACGCCGCGUGAAGGAUGAAAUACUUUUGUAUGUAAACUUCUGUAAGAUGGGAAAAUAUUCUCCUCGGGAGAAUUGAUUGUACCAUCAGAGUAAGCCCCGGCUAACUACGUG
rnacentral:rRNA from 1 species